CAUCCUGUCAACACACAAGACCACAAACAUAUUCAAAAGCUUGUACUGCAGACAGCAACUACAGGACCUGAGCCCUAGGACCGUGCCCCAGGACUACCUGACAUGAUGACUCAUUGCUGUCCCCAGUCCACCUGACUGUGCUGCUGCUCCAGUUUCAACUGUUCUGCCUUAUUAUUAUUCGACCAUGCUGGUCAUUUAUGAACAUUUGAACAUCUUGGUCAUGUUCUGUUAUAAUCUCUACCCGGCACAGCCAGAAGAGGACUGGCCACCCCACAUAGCCUGGUUCCUCUCUAGGUUUCUUCCUAGGUUUUGGCCUUUCUAGGGAGUUUUUCCUAGCCACCGUGCUUUUACACCUGCAUUGUUUGCUGUUUGGGGUUUUAGGCUGGGUUUCUGUACAGCACUUUGAGAUAUCAGCUGAUGUACGAAGGGCUAUAUAAAUAAAUUUGAUUUGAUUUGAUUUGAAUAAAGGGAAAAAGGCCAUUCUUGAA